rnacentral:rRNA from 1 species
ACCUGGAGGAAGGCGGGGAUGACGUCAAGUCAUCAUGCCCCUUAUGUCUUGGGCUACACACGUACUACAAUGGUCGGAAACAGAGGGAAGCGAAGCCGCGAGGCAGAGCAAACCCCAGAAACCCGAUCUCAGUUCGGAUCGCAGGCUGCAACCCGCCUGCGUGAAGUCGGAAUCGCUAGUAAUCGCAGGUCAGCAUACUGCGGUGAAUACGUUCCCGGGCCUUGUACACACCGCCCGUCACACCACGAAAGUUGGUAACACCCGAAGCCGGUGAGGUAACCUAUAAGGAGCCAGCCGUCUAAGGUGGGGCCGAUGAUUGGGGUGAAGUCGUAACAAGGUAGCCGUAUCGGAAGGUGCGGCUGGAUCACCUCCUUUCUAUGGAGA